UACUUGGUGAAUUGUUGGAUC
rnacentral:miRNA from 2 species